GAUUUACAAAAGCUCUUGUACAAGGCAGAUGAAGUUGCCAGAAGUGAGACCUUUCUUUGGUAGUUUUACUCUAAAUGAGGACAAAAUGGGUUUGGCGUGGAGAUUACUGAUGAAGAGUUUGAGCUGCUACUUGACAGAAUCCCCCUUGAUGAAGAUGGAAAUGUCAGAUACCCCAGUUUGUGGCCAGAGGGCCGUGUGCAAUAGUCCUAAUCCGGGAAGAGCCACUGCCUCCCUGUGUGAUCUGACAGAGUGACAUAUCACUUGACCUCGGUCGCGGCAGCUGUAGAACGAGGUGGAGAAGGCGGCUGACGGACAACCAGGGGAUGCCUUUCAGCACAGCUUCCUCGGGCAAACCACCGGCAAACGCACGGCUUGGCUUCUUUCUUCCUCCUCCACGAGUUUUAGAUCAAAAUUAGGUUUCGCAUCGUUUCUCUUGGAUUUUUUUUUUCAUUAUUAUUUUAUUUUUUUCCAGUGGAAG
rnacentral:lncRNA from 1 species